rnacentral:rRNA from 1 species
UGUAAGUUUGAUCUUGGCUUAGGAUGAACGUUAGUAAAAUGUUUUACACAUGCGAGUUGAUUUUAUCAGCGUACGGGUGAGGUGACUAAGUAUUUACCCCAAACUUUUUGGGAGAAGCUUUUUAGAAAGCAAGGUAGUAGGUCGUGUAAUAGACUACCUAGCCUAUGACUUCGAGCGGUUUCGAAAGAAAAAUCCGCCACAGUGGCAUUGAAGUAUGGGCCACACUCUACCUAGAGGCAGCAGUGAAGAAUCUUAGGCAAUGAGCGAAAGCUUGACCUAGCAAUUUUACAAAACGAUGAAAGCUAUUUUGCUGUAAAGUUUAAAAAAUAACUAUUUCAUAAUGAGUGCUGUUAUUUUUUUAGUCCUGACCAAUAUGCGUGCCAGCAGUCGCGGUAAUACGUGAAGGGCUUACGUUAUCUAUUCAUUAGGCGUAAAACGUUUGUAGGUGGUUACUUAUGUUAUUUAAUAAAAACUAAAAAAAUUAGUACUUAAAUAAUACGUUGUAUCUAGAGAUUUAAAGAAGAAAAUAGAAUUUUUGAAGUACGGUUAAAAUCGGUUGAUAUCAAAAGGACUCUCUUGUGAAGACAAUUUUCUACGAAAAUCUGACACUCAGAAACGAAAGCACAGGUAGCAAAGUGGAUUAGAGACCCACGUAGUCUGUGCCGUAAACGAUGUUUAUUUUCUGCUAGAUUCUCUUUUCGGAGGCUUAUAGUAGAUACGCUAACGCUAAAUAAACUGCCUGGAGAGUACCUCGGCAACGAUGAAAUCCAAAAGAAUUGACGGGAGCUAGUACAGGCAGCGGAGCAUGUUACUUAAUUCGAUAAUACGCGAGAAAUCUUACCAAAGUUUGACAGUAGUUUAAACAGGUGUUGCAUGGUUGUCGUCAGCUCGUGUUUUGAAAUGUAUGGUUUAGUCCUUAAACGAGCGAAACCUUUACUUAUUCUAGUUUCUAGAAUAGGCUAGCUUAGAUAAUAAGCUUGAGAAUUAAGACAAAGACAAAUCUUCAUGACCCUUAUACUUUGGGCUGUAAACGUGCUACAAUGGUAACUUCAAAAAGAAGCAACAGAGAAAUCUAAAGCAAACCUUUUAAACGUUACCUUAGUUCGGAUUAAGGAUUGAAACUCAUCCUUAUGAAGUCGGAGUUGCCAGUAAUCGCAAAUCAUCACGUUGCGGUGAAAUUAUUAACCUAGCUUUGUACAUACCGCCCGUCAUGUUAUGGGAGGUUCUUUUAUAUGAAGUGGCAUCAGCCUAUAGUGUAACGGAACUAACUGUAAUAAAGUCGUAACAAGGUAGCUGUAAGCGAACUUGCAGCUG